CGCCCCCGCCGCAGCGCAUCCCGGGCCGGCCCGCGGAGACCCGGAGGGGGCACGGGCAGGGGCUGCCCCCAGCGCUUCUGCGCCCGUCCCGGAGCCGGGCCGGGAGACAGCGGGACGAGCGGGGGAACAGCCUGAAGCUAUGUCAGGGGGGUUUAGGAUGGAUAGUAGGAAAAGGUUCUUCACGCAGAGCGUGGCUGGACACUGAACAGGCUCCUCAGGGCAGUGGUCACAGCACCAAGCCUGGCAGACCUCGAGAAGCGUGUGGACAAUGCUCUCGGGCACAUGGUGUGACUCUUGGGGGUGCCCUGUGCAGGGUUCGAUGAGCGCUGUGCAUCCCCUGUAACUGUGGUGCUGUGACCGGGGAGCAGCACGGCUCGGCCCCACGACUCGCCCUUGUUUUUUGGUUAAAGGCUGGCGAUCGGGAAGGUAGAAGAGAAUGCGGCCACAGGUUCCCUCAGCACCACCAGAAAGACCCUUUGGGCCCAGACAGCAACAGUGCAUUUUGCCUUGUCCUUGUAGUAGUAAGUUCCUUGUGCGUGCUUUUUAUAGAUCAACUUCUCCAAUUUUCUUCCUUCUCUCUCGUCCCUCCCCAGCAGCCACAAACAUCAUCCACCUGCAAACCAAUUCUGCAAUGGUCUCCAACCUACAGAGACACCUGACCUCAGCACAGAAGCAGCUGAGGGCAGAGACUUUGCAGCCCCAUCCAGAGAACCUGCACCUUUACAAAUCCACUGCAGGGAAAGUGGUGAUUUUCGAGUUGAAAAAGAAAGUAAAGAGUCCAAUGUAACAUGACAGCUGCCUUUGUGGGGGACUCUGUCCAUGUGCUGAAUUCCAGUGAUUUCAAACAGCACUGGUUAAAGUGCAAAGAUCCAUCCUAUUUGAGCUGACUGAAGACCUGGAGACAAACUAAUCAGUUUAGCACAGCAUGCAACCUCCUUCUCAUAUGAUGCCAUAUGCAGCUUUGCAACUGUUUUGCUGAGCUUCCUCAAGACUAUGUUUAACUUGGUUACCCAAAGGAGGUCAUGAACACAUCCGUGUUGCAAGCUGCUUAUACAGUUUUUGCACAAGCUCAAGCUGACUGAAGAAAUAAUGCAACACUGGGAAAUCCAAAAGGAGAAGUCACGCCAUGAUUUGCAUUCAAGGCACCCACAUCUUCUGCAGCCUCACUACCUGGCUGAAAAACACUGUUGCUGUUUCUCUGCUGAAUGUAGAGUAGUGAUGUCCACUGUUAACAGCAAUUAAUCAUUUCUUUGGGAAAACUCCAGUUAAAGAUACUGUUGGCACUGGUUAAUGAGUAAUCAUUAAUUAAGGUAGACGACACGAUCAGUUAGGCAUUAAAAGGUAUCCUGUGUGGAAUUCUUUCAUCCAGGGAAAGACAUAGAAUCACAGAAUGGCUUUGAUGGGAAGGGACCUUAAAGAUCAUUUAGUCCAACCCGUCUGCUCUGUGCAGGGACACCUUCCACUAGACCACAUUGCUCAAAGCCCCAUCCCACCUGGCCUUGAACACUGCCAGGGAUGGGGCAUCCACAGCUUCUCUGGGCAACAGUGCCUCACCACUGCCACAGUAAAGCAGAAAUUUACUCCUAAUAUCUAAUCUAAACCUACUCUGAGUUUGAAUCCAUUCUCUCUUGUCCUGUCAGUACCUGCCCUUGUAAAAAGUCCAUCCCUUUCCAUCUUUCAGAUACUGCAAGGGCACAAUUAGGUUUUAACUGAAGCCCUCUUUUUUCCAUAGAUGCAGGAGAAGGUUGAAUUCCAGAUACAUCUUAUCUGUAGUUUCACAUGAAGUUUAUCAUCCUGAGCCAGGGGCAGGCCCAAUGUGCUCAGGAGAGGAAGAGAGGAGGCACCAUGCCCUGUCCCAUGACUGGCAUCAGCAAUAAAGCCCCUUCCCAUCCACCCCUCAGCAAAUCUAAACCACUUUAUCCUGGUUUACACCAGCCAACAGCACAGACUUAGGCAACAGUCAUCAGUCAAAGGGGAAUUUUCAUCUAGAUGACAGUAAUGCUGCCAUAUAUUUUUUACCACAGACAUCCAAGACCAGUUUCCUUAAGUCUGUGCCACAGCACAAACAUCUUUGUAAGGGACAUUUACUCCCUAUUUUCAUGUCAUGCAGUCAAGUGCUACCCAAAAGUUCCAUAGGCUGGCAUGUGCAGUAAGAUCUGGAAAUUGUUCUUCCUGAAAUACCACAAUUGUUUAUCAUUAGUGCUAUUGAUGCAUUUCAACUUAAUAAAAUGUUGUGAAAUCCAUUACACCAUUGUUAACUGUGGCUAAGAAAAGCAAUCCUAAUGGCAUGGAUGAAUCCAGCCAGACCACAAGGGAUUACAUAGUUUGAUUUGUUCAGCCUAGGUCUCAUAACAAAAAGGCAGAAGGAAACUAAAGUAAGGUUUCAAAACUAUAGAGUUUCCUAAUGAUAGCUGUAACUGUAAUACUGAUUUUGUAAUACUAUGUAUUUAGAAAAAAAAAUAUUGAACAAAGUAAAAACACAACAGAAACUCCCUUUGUCAAACAGAAGUGAUGCAAGUGGAAGAUAAAAACCCUUCCAAUCAUCUGUUCAACUCUUAUGCCUUUUUCUCCAUCUAGAAAUAUCAGCAGUCCCAGUUUCACUGAGCUCCUCUGGAGCCAUACACCUCCUUGUUCAUCCAGUGUGGCCCAGGCUGAGGCUGAUUGACCUACCAGUGUUUUAUGCCUCAUCUCACUCUGUCUGAAAUGCAAGUUUCUCUAAGGUCCCAGUUUUCACCUCCCUGCUCUACAGCCCCAAGAUUUCCAAUGGAAGCUGGAGGCUCUGAGCAGGACACUCACCAUGUUGUUCAGGUGGGGAUCCACCCCUGUCUUGGGUUGAAAAAUGUAACCAAAAAUGUGUAUUAUAUUUUCAUCUGUUGAAACCGGUUGGGAGAUAUUGUUCUUUAUCUCUUGUAACUCUAGGGAGGAAGAGGGCAGAUGCCUUCUGUUAAUGGGACACCUGAUAACACCAGAUAAGGCAGAGCCUUCUUAUCUCUUCCUCCACCCAUCCUUCUCCGAGGGACAUCACCUGUGGAUGGGCCAUUUAAGGCCUCUCACAUGACUGAUAACAAUACCUCAUUCCAUCGUGAGAUGCUCCACCCAGUGGGAGGAGCCAAAGCCUUUCCACCGAGAUAAAACCUGCAAUCCCAAACACCAAUUUAGCUGAUUUUCUGCUGAAUUCUUGGAGGAGGACCAGACCCAUCUCACCAGCACUGGACCCUUUUUUCUACAGGAUCAUCUCUACUCCACAAAACAACAUCUGUUACUCCAGGAAGAUUUAUUUGGACUGCUUCCAACACCCUGACAACAGGGUGUCAGCUCGUAUCUCUGACUCUGUCAGGGUUUUCUAGGACUUUUGUUUGUUUGCUUGGUUUUUUUUUUUUUGUACUACUGUAUUUGUAUUUUUUUUAAUAUUGCUAGUAAACAACUGUUAUUCCUAUUCCCAUGUUUUUGCCUGAAAGCUCCUAAUUGCAAAAUUGUAAUAAUUUGGAGAAAGGGGGGUUUUACAUUCUGCAUUCCAAGGGAAACUUCAGUUUUCCCUGACAGAUACCUGUCUUUUCAAACCAAGACAAUCCCCAGCUUUGGGGGCUGAAAAAUUGCAUUAAAUGCAGUUUUGAGAUUAAUAAAUGAAGUCUCAUUAUUGGUAGAACUCAGAUCUUUCCACUUGCUUCCACUUACAAUUGUCAGGACUGAAAGACAUCACUGGAAGGCACUAUAAUUAGAUUUGGAGGUGAGGAGGAAGGAGAAGACAGAACAGGCUGAUGUGCUGAAGUUCUGAGAAAUUAUCAAACAAGAUGUGUCUUGUGUUAAUGCUGAAUGAUACAUCACAGCAAAUUCAGUAUCAUAGAACCAUAACUGCUUAUCACAGUCAGCUGUGAGAAUGGUGUACUGACUUAAUUGAGGUCAAGAAUUAAUUGCAUGUCUUUCAGAUAACAUUUCUAAAUGGCAGGUUCUGUCUAAAGAGAAGACUUUAAUUCAAACCUUUUAGGCCAAACAUUUACAGAGAAGCAGAAAGUCCCAGUCAGUGCAAGAAUGUGAAAAAAUAAGUAAAAUGUUAUCUUGUCAUAAAAUGUGUCUUGAUUGGCAAACUGUAAGUAUGGAUCAAAGCAGUAAUAUGCUGGAGAAAAAGCUAGAUACAGAAGAGCGUGGG